rnacentral:rRNA from 1 species
ACGCUCGUGAUGAGACCUCAGGUCAGGCGGGGCUACCCGCUGAAUUUAAGCAUAUCAAUAAGCGGAGGAAAAGAAACUAACAAGGAUUCC